GAAAUGCGAUAAGUAAUGUGAAUUGCAGAAUUCAGUGAAUCAUCGAAUCUUUGAACGCACCUUGCGCUCCUUGGUAUUCCUUGGAGCAUGCCUGUUUGAGUCUCAUGAAAUCUUCAAAGUAAAUCUUUUGUUAACUCAAUUGGUUUCUACUUUGGUAUUGGAGGUCUUUGCAGCUUCACACCUGCUCCUCUUUGUUCAUUAGCUGGAUCUCAGUGUUAUGCUUGGUUCCACUCGGCGUGAUAAGUUAUCUAUCGCUGAGGACACUGUAAAAGGUGGCCAAGGUAAAUGCAGAUGAACCGCUUCUAAUAGUCCAUUGACUUGGACAAUACUUUUAUGAUCUGAUCUCGAAUCAGGUAGGACUACCCGCUGAACUUAAGC
rnacentral:misc_RNA from 1 species